CAGUCUGAACUCACUGACCCCCCUUAUGUCCAGGAGCCCAUUCUGCUUUAUCUGGUGCUGGCAGAUUUCCUUUUCAAUAAAAAGCCUGUUUGGAGCAGAAACCUCCCAUCUCACACUGUUACAAAGCCACGGGAAAGAGUUGCCCUUUCUCUGCGUUAGUGAUCUCGGCUGUGUUAGUGAACCAACAGCUGACACUAAGAGCAACAGGUUGCAGCUCAGGGGGCAAGUGAAAAGAGCUAACAUGGAGGACAGAUGGAUGAGAGAAGCCGAGUGGUUCUGCAGUGGACAAGGGGAUAAUGUGUUGGUAUGUUCAGUAUGUGGCAUUGUGCCCUCGCUCCUGGAGAAAGAAUAAUAAAGCACUAUUGCAAAACCCCAGACCCAGAUGGAAAGAAAAACUUAAACAUCACAAAACACACACACAUGCACACUCAUUCACACACACACACAUACAGAGUGAGAUAUACUUUACAUAUACUUUACAUAUACACCUGCAGUGUGAAAAAUGGGACCUCAGAUAUACAGAAUACCAGAAAGGUCCCGACGUGUGUGUGUGUGUGUGUGUGUGAGUGUGUGUGUGUGAGAGUGUGUGUGUGAGUUUUAAGCAGGACCUUUUGAAAGCAAGGUCCCCACAAAGUAUAAUCCUGACACAUGACCCCCACGAUGUAUAAAAAAAUGUGUGUGUGUGUGUGUGUGGACAAACAUUUCUCUUACUAUUAUUGAGUAAGAGUAAGAGUAAGAUAUUCCUUUAUUUGUCCCGCAGUGGGGAAAUUGCAUUGUAUUGUAGGGACUUUUCACUGACAUUAUUAUUAAUGCAGCUAAUUAUUGCUAUGUGUUCACCUAAAUCUAACCUUAAUCAUUUUAUAACCUCAGUAAUUUUUAAACCAAAGCUGCAGUUUGAGAAAAAUCAGCUUUACUCAUGAGAACCAGCCCCCAUAAUGUCCCCACAUGGUCAAAACCAUCAUAUAUUCCGACCUUUGUGGGGACAUUUGGUACCAAUCAAGAUAUAAAAACAGAAACAAUUUAGAGAAAAUUUCUUUAACUCUACGAAGACUAAUGGGGUUGUGUUUUGAAGGGCGUGAGUCACACACCUCAAGGAGUUGAUGUGGACUGAAAAAUGUUUUGGUUUGGUUAAAAUAGUAGUGUAUCUGUUCUGUUAGACGUGUGAGUCAGAUGCCUAAAAACAACUCCGGAAUGAUUUCAGUGUGAAUUAGCUUUUAAAAAGCUUGUUAAAACCUCUUUGAAGAGGUUUAUGUUAAGCAGAACAUUAAGACCCAACCAAGAACAUUAUGUUAGCAAGUGAGCUAAAACCUAGCUACUUCACCCAGACUCAUAGUGCAGCUGCUACUAAUAACGUAGCACUCAGGAUGAAUACAACAUGGAACAAGUAGCUUACUACUUUGAUUAAUUAUCUGAGAACUUGUUUAUGGUAUCCUGUUCAUUGGGUUUAUUGAAAUAUUCAGAACUAAAGCAGAUAGCAGCGUAGCUAGGAAAUAUUACUAACCACACCCUGAAAUAUUUUGUAACAGUUCCAAAUGCUUAUUUAUGAGUGGUUAAUGACAUGUUUAAACACUCCAAAUGUCAUAUUAACACAUCUCUUAGUUUGUUUAAUCACAUUUUAUUGGCUAUAAGAUGCUAUGGUGUGAAACAGGAUUAACUAGUCAGGGUAAUGUUUUCCUGUUUUCUGUGUGAAGUACUGGAGGAAAGGUAAAUCUAGUUUUAUAAGAUAUUUUUCCUCGAUUACAUUAUUAUGUUAUUAAUCAUUUUCAGUGGAACUGUCAGAAAGGUACUUCAUGGCAAUAUUAUUAAUAUGGCAACAUUGGUUCGCAUAAAUUAUGCCUUAAAUCAAGGGUUCUCAAACUUUUUACAGCCAGAAACUUCUUUAAGUAUGAAAAAAAACAUCCACAGUGCAGUUUUAUUUGAUGAACAUAAACCAGCUAUUCAUAUAUUAGGCUUUAUUUAAAUGUGUCGGAUAUAAUAAUGUUUUGGUUAUUUGUCGGCGUCAUAAGUUUUUAUUCCCGAAAUUUCCAUUCACAGAACACUGUUUUAUUAAAAUUGUCAUUAAAUUUAAGUUGGCGUUAUUAUUGGUCUACUUGGUUUUGAGUUAUUAAGGUUUGGAUUAAAGUUCUUCAGUUCCAGUGACCAGUCAAACAUGCUAAUAUAACUAUAAGAACUCAAUAAUAAAUAUAAGUAAUAAAGUAUACAGUAAAAAAUAUGUGAUUUAAGGAAAACUUAUAGUCACCAGUUUUGCACUGUGCAAACUGCACGCCUAAAUCAUCACACAUUUCAUUUGACUCAAACAAUUUCAUAUUAUAGCAGAAUCAUGAGAAAGAUCAUACAAGAUAUACAAAGAUAUACAUAUAAAAUUGUACCAUUAUCAUCACAAUCACUUUAAACAUACAAUUAUAUAAACUUUGCACCAUGUCUUAGCCUGAGUCUGAUUUUCACACAGCGUGACACUAAACAUUUUGCUGAAAAAGAAAGUGUUUUGGAUUCAAGAUGGAGGCUACUACUUUUUAUAGCUCUGUUGUUAAUAGCCACUGUUCAUAGACUGUUAAUAGACUCGAUCUGUUUAGAGGCAAGAGUGACAUGAGGUUUACAUGAUGCAUAACUGAUACUGUAUCUGUGAGUUACACAGCAUUAGUCUCUAGUCUUUCAGGUUAAAAUUCUGAGUUCUGCAAGUACUCUGUAUCCUUGCACUUCAGCUGUUUGCAUUUUUAGGAAGUGACUGGAUAAAAAAAAUGACCACAAUCACAUACAGUACUGCGCAAAAGUCUUAGGCACAUGCAGAGAAAUGCUGUAGAGCAAAGAUGCCUUCGAAAAUAAUGAAACUAAAAGUUAAAUACAUUAAAUACAUUAAAAAAUACUAUAAAGAGCAGUAAACAGUAAUAAAUGAAACAAAGUCAAUAUUUGGUGUGACGAUCCUUCGCUUUUAAAAAAUAUAUAGUAGUCUCAGGUACAAUGUGUGCAGUUUUAUAAGGAAAUUAGCUGUAAGAUUUACUGAGCAUCUUGCAGAAGCAGCCACAGUUCUUCUGGAGACUUUGACUGUCACACUUGCUUCCUAUUUUUGCAGCAAAAUCCAGCAGCCUUCAUUAUGUUUUUCUGCCUGAAAAGUGUCUCUUAUGUAAUAUACUGCUUUCUUUACUGACAUACAAACAUUUUUCUGUAACAUUUAAUUUUGUGCUGGAAAACUAAUGUUUGGAAUCUAAAGUGUUUUUGUACUGAAUCAAUAAUGUAGAAGUCACAAAAUAAAAAUCUAUAACAAAGUUUGUACUAAAAAAAAAUAGGGUGCCUAAGACUUUUGCACAGUACUGUAUGCUCACAAACAUAUCCUUAUAUUAUACCACAGCUCUCUUUAUUUCUCAAAUUUGAUUGGUCAGGAAGUAUUGGGUAAUUUUCUAUAACGGCAUGGCUCUCGCCAUAAUGCCGGCUGUAAUUCAAAUCAUAGGUUUAU